UAAAACUUAAAGAAAAUAAUCUAUACAGCAUG
rnacentral:piRNA from 1 species